AUGGAUUUUGUUGAAGGCCUUCCCAAAUCAGGUCACUUCAAUUGCAUUCUAGUGGUUGUGGACAAACUGUCCAAGUAUGCACAUUUUAUUGGGCUUCAGUAUCCCUUUACCGUGUCCACGGUGACUGCAGCGUUCAUGGACAACAUAUACAAGCUUCACGGGAUGCCUGAAUCAAUUGUUACUGAUCGUGAUCGUAUCUUUACCAGUCGUUUUUGGCGAGAGAUUGCUGCUCUCACAGGCACUAAGCUCAAGAUGAGUUCUUCCCAUCAUCCUCAGACUGACGGACAGUCAGAGCGCGUGAAUCAGUGCUUGGAAGCCUUUCUUCGAUGUUUCACGCAUGCAUGCCCGGCUAAGUGGGCGCAGUGGCUGUCGCUUGCGGAGUAUUGGUAUAACACCAGUAUGCAUUCCUCUCUACAAGGGAAAUCUCCAUUUGAGACUCUGUAUGGUCAUUCUCCUCGUCAGUUUGGCAUAUCAGAUGCAGACGCUUGUUUCGUGCCAGAACUGUCCACUUGGCUCCAAGAUCGUGCACUCAUGCUCAGGCUGUUGCAGCAGCAUUUGGAACAUGUGCGCGUCCGUAUGAAAAAUCAGGCAGACAAGAAGAGAUCUGACAGGGUAUUUCAAGUGGGUGACUCUGUCUUUAUGAAACUACAGCCAUAUGUGCAGUCUUCUGUUGCUCCCCGUGCACAUCAUAAGCUUCUUUUCAAGUUUUAUGGUCCCUUCAAGAUACUGGAGCGCAUUGGUCCUUCUGCUUAUCGCCUGCAACUUCCUCCUCAUAGCAAAAUUCAUCCAGUUUUGCAUGUGUCUCAACUGAAGAAAGCAUUGGGGCCUCAUUGUCAGGUACAAUCUGAUCUUCCUCCUGUUAAUUCACAACUUGCUAUCCCUGUCAGAGUGCUUCAGCGGCGUUUCCGUCAAACUGGUGAGCGAGCAGUUCCUCAAGGUCUUAUUCAGUGGUCUGAUCAGCCGGAGUCAUUAGCAACUUGGGAGGACCUGGAGGCGUUGAAGCAGCGUUUUCCUCGAGCGGCCGCUUGGGGACAAGCGACAUUUCAAGGGAAGGGGAAUGUUAAGACUACACCAUGGGCUACUACAGGAGAUGGCCCAACCGAAGAAGCCCAGGAGGUGGUUCAGCUCGACAAGCGGCUGAGACAGCCAGCCCAGCGAUAUGCAUCAGACGAGUGGGUCAAGUGA
rnacentral:rRNA from 1 species